rnacentral:rRNA from 1 species
AGCGAACGCUGGCGGCAGGCCUAACACAUGCAAGUCGAACGAACUCUUCGGAGUUAGUGGCGGACGGGUGAGUAACACGUGGGAACGUGCCUUUUGGUUCGGAAUAACUCAGGGAAACUUGUGCUAAUACCGAAUGUGCCCUUCGGGGGAAAGAUUUAUCGCCAUUAGAGCGGCCCGCGUCUGAUUAGCUAGUUGGUGAGGUAACGGCUCACCAAGGCGACGAUCAGAAGCUGGUCUGAGAGGAUGACCAGCCACACUGGGACUGAGACACGGCCCAGACUCCUACGGGAGGCAGCAGUGGGGAAUCUUGCGCAAUGGGCGAAAGCCUGACGCAGCCAUGCCGCGUGAAUGAUGAAGGUCUUAGGAUUGUAAAAUUCUUUCACCGGGGACGAUAAUGACGGUACCCGGAGAAGAAGCCCCGGCUAACUUCGUG